rfam:Wenyingzhuangia fucanilytica strain CZ1127, complete genome.
UGAAUGUUAAAUUUGUGCUAAUGAAAAUGAUUACAAAAAAUACUUGGUGGUGGUACACUCUUAAUUAAUUAAGCGUGAGUAUCAAUGUGUAUUUUAUUAAAAUAAAUAUAUAAAGGCUUAUC